UACGGAGGGUGCGAGCGUUGUCCGGAAUUACUGGGCGUAAAGGGCUCGUAGGCGGCCAACUAAGUCAGACGUGAAAUCCCUCGGCUUAACCGGGGAACUGCCUCUGAUACUGGAUGGCUUGAGAUUGGGAGAGGGAUGCGGAAUUCCAGGUGUAGCGGUGAAAUGCGUAGAUAUCUGGAGGAACACCGGUGGCGAAGGCGGCAUCCUGGACCAACACUGACGCUGAGGAGCGAAAGCCAGGGGAGCAAACGGG
rnacentral:rRNA from 1 species